UACGAACUGUGCGAACGUUAUUCGGAAUCACUGGGCUUAAAGGGUGCGUAGGCGGCUGCCUAAGUCAGGUGUGAAAUCUCUCGGCUCAACCGGGAAACUGCGCUUGAUACUGGGCGGCUAGAGUGAGGUAGGGGUGUGUGGAACUUCCGGUGGAGCGGUGAAAUGUGUAGAUAUCGGAAGGAACGCCAGCAGCGAAAGCGGCACACUGGGCCUUUUCUGACGCUGAGGCACGAAAGCUAGGGGAGCGAACGGGAUUAGAUACCCCGGUAGUCCUAGCCGUAAACACUGAACACUCGAGGAGGGGGGCUUCGGCCUUCUUCCUCUUAGCGAAAGCGUUAAGUGUUCCGCCUGGGGAGUAUGGUCGCAAGGCUG
rnacentral:rRNA from 1 species